AUAAUACCUACGGCGUAAAACACGACUAAAUACUAGUCAACCCAUUAGAAAUGAAACAAAUCUGGGCUGUAAAAAGCCACAAGACAUAAUAACCACCACCUAAUGAAAAACAGCAUCCACUCGUGAAAGCUGGGACACAAACUAAGAUUAGAUACCUUACUAUGCCCAGCCAUAACACAACAAUUAAAUUACCCAUUGUUCGCCAAAUAACUACGAGUAAAGACUUAAAAUUUAAAAGACUUGACGGUACCUCACACCAACCUAGAGGAGCCUGUCAAAUAACCGAUACCCCACGAUUAACCCAACCCCCCCUAGCCCCACAGUCUAUAUACCGCCGUCGCCAGCUUACCUUAUGAAAGAAACAAAGUAAGCCAAAUAGUCAUACACUAACACGACAGGUCGAGGUGUAACUCAUGGGGGGGACCAAGAUGGGCUACAUUUUCUACAACAGAAAACACGGAUAAACCAUGAAAAAGAAACUGAAGGCGGAUUUAGCAGUAUAUUAAGAAUAAAAUACUUAAUAGAAACCAACGCAAUGAGGUGCGUACACACCGCCCGUCAUCCCUGCAAACUACCACUAUAAAUUCAUAAA
rnacentral:rRNA from 1 species